rnacentral:tRNA from 1 species
AAGGCUUUAGCUUAAUUAAAGUGUCUGUUUUGCAUACAGGAGAUGCGGGGUAGUAAUCCGUAAGUCUUA